rnacentral:misc_RNA from 1 species
GAUGAAGAACGUAGCGAAAUGCGAUAAUUAAUGUGAAUUGCAGAAUUCCGUGAAUCAUCGAGUCUUUGAACGCACAUUGCGCCUCAUGGCAUUCCGUGAGGCAUGCCCAUCUCAGCGUUAGAAAAUAUUCUCAAAUUUUAGUUUUGUGCUAAAAUUUGGAUCAUGUCAAGGAAGCUAUUACUAUUAUUGUGAUCGCUCUUUGGAAAUUGAUAGGUCUUUGAGUUGCUACUCAUAGAACGUGAUGAAUCUUUCUUCGUUCUAUUGUAAUUCACUCUAAUAGUCCUAAAACUUGUAUGCCUGUGGCAUAUCUUGUAAUUUGACCUGAGAUUGGGUAGGGAUACCCGCUGAACUUAAGCAUAUCAAUAAGCGGAGGA